CAUUGUUAAAAUAUGUAAUACUUAUUUACAUUUUUAAUCAUACUGCUAUAUUAUUUGCUAUUUUUCUAGUAAUACUUAAUUUUUAAGUUAAUAUGAAUUUAAAAGUCAUUCUGUGACAGGUUCAUAAUUAUAUAAUAAUGGGUAACUUGUGUAGUGUUUACUAUUUAUCAGAUAUUAUUCUAGGCACUUUAUACUUAAACUCAUUUAAACCUCAUAACAACUUAUGAAAUAGAUUAUUAUUUUAGUUUUAUAGGUAGAAUUGUUUAACAUAAUGAUAGAAGUUAAUAUGUUCUAAAGAAACUAAUUUAAGUAUCAAGAGAUGAGCUUUGGGCUAAUGACUUUAUAUAUACAUGGUUAGUUAGCUCUGUGAUAGAAUAAAAAUAGUGCAGCACAAGUAAGGUGAGAUGUUUAAGCCUUCAUAUUUAAAAAUUUCUCAAGAGUCUUGAUGUCUUUAUACCAGAUAUUGAAUUUAUAAAUGAAUAUAAAUGUAUCCUUAAAAAGUUGUAUGGGAUUAAUAUUUUCGAAGAGUUAGACAUUAAAACCAUUAAUAUAUUGA
rnacentral:lncRNA from 1 species